rnacentral:rRNA from 1 species
AGAGAGAGACAUGCGCGCAUAUCAAUAAGCGGAGGAAAAGAAACUAACUAGGAUUCCCUCAGUAACGGCGAGUGAAGCGGGAAGAGCUCAAAUUUGAAAUCUUCAAGGUUCUACCUUGACGAAUUGUAGUUUAAAGAAGUGUUUUCUGCUGAAGUUUUGGUAAAAGUUCUUUGGAAUAGGACAUCAUAGAGGGUGAGAAUCCCGUAUUUGACCAUUAUUUUCAGCUUUGUGAUACACUUUCAAAGAGUCGGAUUGUUUGGGAAUGCAGUCCAAAAUGGGUGGUAAAUUUCAUCUAAAGCUAAGUAUUGGCGAGAGACCGAUAGCGAACAAGUACCGUGAGGGAAAGAUGAAAAGAACUUUGAAAAGAGAGUUAAACAGUACGUGAAAUUGUCAAAAGGGAAGCGUUUGACACCAGUGUUGUUUUCUCGAAAAUCAAUUAAAAAUGGCUCGAUUUUGUAUUGCUUGAGACCUUAAAAGCUCACUGUACAUUUUUCGUGUCUUUUUUAAUGCACUUUUCGUUUAACAAGUCAACAUCAGUUUCUUUUGUUGUAAAAGGGUCAUUGGAAGGUGGCUUUCUUUUCGGAGAAAGUGUUUAUAGCCUUUGGCCUCUGCAAUCGAAGAGACUGAGGUCUGCAGCGUAGACUCUUCGGGGUUAGAUACAUUUGUGCUAAGUUAUAGCUUUUUAUAGACAACUUGUUGACUAUAAUUAGUCUUGUAGCUUACUCGCUUAUGCUAUUUUACCUACGCUUAGGAUGUUGAAGAUGUAGCACAUCAU